rnacentral:tRNA from 1 species
GCGGAUGUGGCGGAAUUGGCAGACGCGCCAGAUUUAGGUUCUGGUGGGCGAUCCCCGUGCAGGUUCAAGUCCUGUCAUCCGCACCA